rnacentral:rRNA from 1 species
UUUAUAUGAGAGUUUGAUCCUGGCUCAGGAUGAACGCUGGCGGCGUGCCUAAUACAUGCAAGUCGAACGAGUUCUCGUUGAUGAUCGGUGCUUGCACCGAGAUUCAACAUGGAACGAGUGGCGGACGGGUGAGUAACACGUGGGUAACCUGCCCUUAAGUGGGGGAUAACAUUUGGAAACAGAUGCUAAUACCGCAUAGAUCCAAGAACCGCAUGGUUCUUGGCUGAAAGAUGGCGUAAGCUAUCGCUUUUGGAUGGACCCGCGGCGUAUUAGCUAGUUGGUGAGGUAACGGCUCACCAAGGCGAUGAUACGUAGCCGAACUGAGAGGUUGAUCGGCCACAUUGGGACUGAGACACGGCCCAWACUCCUACGGGAGGCAGCAGUAGGGAAUCUUCCACAAUGGACGCAAGUCUGAUGGAGCAACGCCGCGUGAGUGAAGAAGGCUUUCGGGUCGUAAAACUCUGUUGUUGGAGAAGAAUGGUCGGCAGAGUAACUGUUGUCGGCGUGACGGUAUCCAACCAGAAAGCCACGGCUAACUACGUGCCAGCAGCCGCGGUAAUACGUAGGUGGCAAGCGUUAUCCGGAUUUAUUGGGCGUAAAGMGAGYGCAGGCGGUUUUYUAAGUCUGAUGUGAAAGCCYUCGGCUYAACCGRRGAAGYGCAUCGGAAACUGGRWAACUUGAGUGCAGAAGAGGRYAGUGGAACUCCAUGUGUAGCGGUGRAAUGCGUAGAUAUAUGGAAGAACACCAGUGGCGAAGGCGGCURYCUGGUCUGYAACUGACGCUGAGRCUCGAAAGCAUGGGUAGCGAACAGGAUUAGAUACCCUGGUAGUCCAUGCCGUAAACGAUGARUGCUAGGUGUUGGAGGGUUUCCGCCCUUCAGUGCCGCAGCUAACGCAUUAAGCAUUCCGCCUGGGGAGUACGACCGCAAGGUUGAAACUCAAAGGAAUUGACGGGGGCCCGCACAAGCGGUGGAGCAUGUGGUUUAAUUCGAAGCUACGCGAAGAACCUUACCAGGUCUUGACAUCUUUUGAUCACCUGAGAGAUCAGGUUUCCCCUUCGGGGGCAAAAUGACAGGUGGUGCAUGGUUGUCGUCAGCUCGUGUCGUGAGAUGUUGGGUUAAGUCCCGCAACGAGCGCAACCCUUAUGAC